AAAUUGAAGAGUUUGAUCAUGGCUCAGAUUGAACGCUGGCGGCAGGCCUAACACAUGCAAGUCGAACGGUAACAGGAAGCAGCUUGCUGCUUCGCUGACGAGUGGCGGACGGGUGAGUAAUGUCUGGGAAACUGCCUGAUGGAGGGGGAUAACUACUGGAAACGGUAGCUAAUACCGCAUAAUGUCGCAAGACCAAAGAGGGGGACCUUCGGGCCUCUUGCCAUCGGAUGUGCCCAGAUGGGAUUAGCUUGUUGGUGGGGUAACGGCUCACCAAGGCGACGAUCCCUAGCUGGUCUGAGAGGAUGACCAGCCACACUGGAACUGAGACACGGUCCAGACUCCUACGGGAGGCAGCAGUGGGGAAUAUUGCACAAUGGGCGCAAGCCUGAUGCAGCCAUGCCGCGUGUAUGAAGAAGGCCUUCGGGUUGUAAAGUACUUUCAGCGGGGAGGAAGGGAGUAAAGUUAAUACCUUUGCUCAUUGACGUUACCCGCAGAAGAAGCACCGGCUAACUCCGUGCCAGCAGCCGCGGUAAUACGGAGGGUGCAAGCGUUAAUCGGAAUUACUGGGCGUAAAGCGCACGCAGGCGGUUUGUUAAGUCAGAUGUGAAAUCCCCGGGCUCAACCUG
rnacentral:rRNA from 1 species